rnacentral:rRNA from 1 species
UACGGGGGGGGUAAGCGUUGUUCGGAAUUACUGGGCGUAAAGGGCUCGUAGGCGGUUUGUCGCGUCGGGAGUGAAAACACCGGGCUUAACUCGGUGCUUGCUUUCGAUACGGGCAGACUAGAGGCAUUCAGGGGAGAACGGAAUUCCUGGUGUAGCGGUGAAAUGCGCAGAUAUCAGGAGGAACACCGGUGGCGAAGGCGGGUCUCUGGGCAGUAACUGACGCUGAGGAGCGAAAGCGUGGGGAGCGAACAGG